rnacentral:miRNA from 1 species
CGCGACCUCAGGUCAGACGUG